rnacentral:pre_miRNA from 1 species
GUGCAUUGUAGUUGCAUUGCAUGUGUCUUUGAUGUUGUGCAAUGUAUCUGGAAUGCAAUA